GACGUAGGGCGCGAGCGUUGUCCGGAUUUAUUGGGCGUAAAGAGCUCGUAGGCGGCUUGUCGCGUCGACCGUGAAAACUUGGGGCUCAACCCCAAGCCUGCGGUCGAUACGGGCAGGCUAGAGUUCGGUAGGGGAGACUGGAAUUCCGUGUGAGCGGUGAAAUGCGCGAUAUCGGGAGGAACACCAGUGGCGAAGGCGAUCACCUGGGGUUGUUCUGACGCUGAGGAGCGAAAGCUAGGGGAGCAAACGGG
rnacentral:rRNA from 1 species